GUUCGACUACCGACCAUGCGGCGGUCGGCCAUCUUGGAUCCUUUGUUCCCUCAGCGGUGUUAGGUCGUCGAGCGCAUGGUACUAAAAACUGCUACUCGACGGCGCGAACAACACUGAGCCUCCAGGACGUUCGGGAGUUCCGGGCCGUUCGGUAGUUCAUUCCCUGGAAGUCAAUCGGUCUUUUUAAUAUGUUUCUCAAUAAAUGUGUUUUUCGUGCGGCGUUCGGUUGUUUUAGCUGGGAUCUGAGCGGUAAUCUCACGAAUGAUGCGCUCAGAGCCCAGCUAUCUACC